AAGUUCCCACAGCGAUACACUGGUGUGUUCACAUUUUCGGGCCUCAAAAAGUCCCACGCGGGCAAAGCUGGUCACCCAGGAGACAAUGCCUGACAACGUUACCCAACAACUGAGGGUGGGGGCGGUUUCUGGUGGCUGAACACUCAAGAGGAAAUACAGAUGGGCUUCCCAUUUUUGUCAUACUGGUACACCAACAUCUUGAUGCAGUGGGAGUUGGCUGGAUAGCUGAAUAGCUCAAUUGUUUUACUAAGAAAGCCAUGGAAACAACCUGGAUCUGAUUUAUCCCACUGCUGCUUCUACCAAUGCAUGAUCUCUGCGUGCCUGCAUCAGACAGGAGGAGCACAGCUUUCUGCCCCUCAUGUGGUACUGCACUUUGGUUUAGGCUCAUUACACAUCUUUUUUCUUUGCUGUCCUUUUCUGUUCCCUGCUUCCCUCUGUCACCAUAUAUGCAUGUUGUAUUGUUCCC